AGUUAGGCAAGGUACUUCGGGUAAUUUGUGCCAAGUAUAUAAAUGCCAUGCUAACCUCCAUUUGCACAGACAAUGGCAUUCAUGGAUCCCUUCCUCAAUCCUUGGUACUGGAGAAACAAUUAGCCCUCACCAGGCACAACCUAUUCAUACUGUGCAUUUCCCUCUUGAAGUGAGCGACCCAAGAAUAGGCCCUUGCCUGAUGUCUUUGUGGAGGCCAUCUCACUUCUGGAACAAAGCUUGGCACCUACUAUUUGCAGAACAAGCUGAGGUCAUGGGAUGGAUAGAAGGAACAGUCUGGGAAAUAGUUUCCCCAGUGGCAGAGGCCCUGCUCCAUUAACACCAUGUUCUCUAGGGUUUCCAGGCUUCCAGGAAUUGGGAGCAGGAAGAGGAGACAGGAUGCCCAGUGUACUCCUCUCCACUCUGAAGAGCCCUUACUAUGCAUGGUGCCACCAUUUUACCCUUGGAGGAACUAAAACAGAGAGGCCAUACUGUCUGGGUGAGGCUCCACACCCUGCCACAGGGUCAGAGAAGCUCACUCUAAAUUCACUCUGAUUCAGAGACAGCUGAGCCAAUUCUUCAGGAGAGAAAGAAAAAAAAAUCUAUCCCUCUGUUACCUUUGCUACAAAGAUGAGUGACCUGGACUCUCAGAGAGAAAGAUCUAGAUUCAGCCUCACCACCUUGGAUGACUCAAGUCUCUGAGCCUCAACUUACUCUUCUUAGCUAAUCACCGAACUGAACUGGAAUCCAGAUGCAGACGAGUGAAGAGCAAAGGGGUCCAGACGAGGCUGGUGAAACCCACAGAAACAGCUGACCUGAACAUCAGGGAACUCUUGCUCCCCAGACUGAUAGCUGGGAUACCAGCAUGGGACUGAUCCAGACUCCAGGAACAUGGGUUCCAGUGAGGAAACCUCUGAAAUCUACGGGACCUCCUGUAAUACUUCAGUACUUAUCCCUAGCAUAGGUGUGGACUUUGGGAACCCAUUCCACACCCUGAGCCAAGACAUUCGGGGGUGGGCCUAGGCCCUAUCCUAAAGGAUAUGAUAGACUCUGAUGACACCCUAUGGAAGGCCUCACUAUCCAUGGGGGAGCAGAAAGGAUAUGUGAUAUGUAGGGUUUUGGUUGGGGGGAAUGGUAGGGGAGGACGGGAGGGAGAAGGGAACUGGG
rnacentral:lncRNA from 1 species